rnacentral:lncRNA from 1 species
GGAAUACUAUCUCUAAACUUGCAUCUUCAUUAUGAGAUCUAUUUCAGUGCUAUUGUUACUCCUGGGAAGAUCGUAGAUCCGUUUAUUUUGUGUGAGAGUGAUACUGAUGGUGAGAUGAUACUAGUCUUCCCUACACACCUCCCUGAUUUAUUGUGUAUUUGAGAAUAUCUCACUGCUUGCUGAUGAAAUUUGAGAAUAAUUUGCAUCCAUGUUAAACAAUAUGAAUCUUUGUCCACCCUUUCAGUUAAUUUAUUUUCUGAAACACAGGUAGUUUCCAGAAACAGAGUAAUAGUGAGAGGGUGGACUUUGAGAAUACUAAUUGUUAGAAGUUCUGUUUUUCAGAAAGGGUCUAGUUUGCUAAUAACUGUGACUGAGUUUCAUGAAGAAUAGAUUCAAAUGUUGGUUGAUUUACCUGAACAUGUCUUGGAAAAAAAAAAAAGGGGUGUAAUGUUUGAGCACUGGAGGAGCAAGAGAAGUAACUUUAUAGUUAGAGACGUUAGUUCCAUACAGAAGCAGCAGUAUGUGUUCUCAGUCACUGUGGAAAUUAUUCCUUUGUUUUCAGUUAUCAUAUCCUUGGCAUGGUAAAGCCUCUUCAGCCCCUACAAGGUCAUUUGAUUUGAUUGUCAGGCCUAGCACACUACAAAGGCAUUUGAUUUGAUUAUCAGACCUGUGUAGGUGCCUCUUUGAAAAUUUAAAUAUACUGUGAAUAGAAUAGAAACAUGUUUAUCCCACUUUCCCACUUAAUUUGUAUACUGUCCAGUGAAACACAGAACUGAAAAACCAAUGCAGUAAGCCUCCAUGUUCUUUUGUUCUAUUAAUACCACUGUGGUUGAAUAUCUUGAAAUUUUUGACCAUGCCAACAUGCCUGAUAUAAAUAGCUGUGCAAAUAGAGCUCAGCUGAGAUUACCAAACUUGGUGUUUUGCAUUUUUGAUCCAACUUGAAUGGGGAUGUCUGAAAGCAAGAUAGAAAUUAUCCCCUGUGGCACUAAUCUGGCAUGACAACUGAGAAAUUAAAGACCUUGUUUUCAGGAUUUUCUGCCUGACUGCCAUAUCACCAGUAGGCCUUUGCCUAAAGAUCCUGAUCUCAUGCUAGGACAGUGUCUGCUGUUCCUUCCUACAGAAAGAGCAUGAAAUAAGUGGAUGGAACACGGAAGUUCAGAUAUACUUCAUCUUAGUUCUUAGCUCAUUAUCUUUUCUACUUCCUUAUCAAAACAGCCUCCCUCUUCUAUUAUUCCUUUUUCCUUCAGGCAGCCCCCUUAACCUGAAUGUUUCCUCAAACAGGGCCCUUUGUAGACUGUCAAAGCUGAACUGUAAAAUGUUUUUAAAAAGUCUAUUUCAAAGUGUGAACCAGUUAUCUGACUUAGGAAGAGGAUUUUUUGCUGGGAAGCAUUGGAUGUUAAUGUCGGAGUUAAUAGCUCUACCUUUAGGAGCCUUGCAAUAUCUUCAAGAAAUUUCUAUGCAGGUAGGAUGUGUACAUGUAGUAAAGGAAGCUAGAGGUGUGGAAUUCACAGAAGGUAAUUUAAUUUCAGUAGAGUGGGUAGGCCUGUAGAUAGGAGAUGGAAGACUGCAAGAGUUGUAGCAAGUGCAUUUCUUAAAAUAGAGAUAUUCUCAGGAUUUAUCUUAUAGUAAAUGAAAAUAAAGACUAUAGCCCAUAUCUCCUGUCUACCAUCAAAAUAUUAGAAGCGUAAUUUGAGAACAAGUCUUAAGGAGUUUUCAUUUAUGUAAUAUAUGGUUGGGAUUAAUGAGUUAUAGUCAAAUUAUUAUGCGGGAGAGAGAAAGGAAGAAGCAGUACUUAACUUGUAGUCAGUUUACUGCUAGGGGUAACACGCAAGCUGUUGGAAAAAACAACAACAAAAGCCAACAAAAACAACACCACUACCAACAAAACCACCUCUUGGGAGUUGUUGGAAUAGUUAUGUAGGUGAAAGUUCUUGACAGAAUGCUGGUGUUCUCUGAGUCUGACAGUAUUGUGUUAUAUGAAAAUAAAUCAUCCGUUUUUCCAGGACUUUCAAAGAUGUUAACACUCUGCAUCAGCUCUGUAUCUGUACAGAGACAUUACCUACCCAGACCAGAUCAAAGUUGGAAUAUAUACAUCUUGGAAUUUUUUUGUUGUUGUUUUCCUCACUCAAGGUGUUUUAAAUGUCAUUUUUUAAUGUGUACAAGAGCACAACUUCGUUGAAUGUUUUGGUUUUUUAGUGCUUUUGUGUACCUAGUCUAUACUAUUUUUUCCUUUUCCUCCCCUACAAUACAGGUGUGAAGAUCUAACUCAGCUCAACUAAUGACCCGUGAGUGCCACAUGUUGUCUCUGCAUAUGAUUUUUUAAAAAGAAUAGAAAAUGUAUACUACUUUUCUGUUAACUUUCAGAAAGGUUCUCUUCCCAGCAAAUGGAUAACUGUUUUCCUUUUUAAUCCAGCCAUCAUUUGGAAAUCUAGGUUGCGCUUCACAAGUGAAGUACAAACAGAGGGUCUAAAAAGGUGUCAGCUCUCUGUGGUUGGUGGAUCCUUCUGUACUUUUAUUCCUGUUAUGACCUUGUGAGAACAAAUAUGUACAUAUAUCUUCAUAUUAGGGCAGCUGUGGUACAGAAAGUACGAAAAAGCUGCUCUGAAUGGUGAAGGCUUAUUUAGCAAACUGGUCUUUAGAGGUACAUCAGUAAAAUGUACCUUGAUCAAUGACAAUAGUAACAGUACACAUUUUUCUACUGCUGUCUUAAUCUUGUCUGUGCUCAGCUGAUUUUAUUUCCGGAAAUCAUUAAUUGUGAGACCUCAUGCUUUGCUAAAUACGUUACAAGGUUCUCUCCAUUUAAUCAGGCAUUUAUAAUUAUUAUGAUGAUAAUUAUAAUGAAUGGCUUUUCAGUAGCUGUCUGCUGCUGUAUUUUGGGCUUUCAUACACCUUUUGUAAUUAAAUAGAUUGCUUUCUUUAGAAUACUGUUAUAUAGCAAUUAUAUUGCUUCUCUAAGGCCUACAAGAUGAGAGUUGAUUAUCAAUACCUGAUCAAACAAUUUUUUUCAUGGCCAAGUGUUUGCAGGCCAGUCUCAUUAAUCAAGAAGUUUGCUGCUUAUGAAAACACGGCCAUCUUUACACACCUUAUUUAGGAAAUUAAUGUAAGCGUUUAGUUUUACUAUUUUAAUUUUCUUCCAGAUGCUGUUCCUCAAAUUGCAGGGCAGCUGAAGGAAUAAGAGCCUUAAUUCAGUGUUACAAUACUGUCUAUUCAAAUAAGUUGAGAAGCACUGAAGCAAGAAAACUUAAAACUUAAUAUGAUGUAAAAGUGUACUACAAACUUACUUGAACAGCAUCUUGUUCUUCAGAUAAAUAUUAGGCAAAGAAUCUAUAAAACUGGAGGCAGCAGUCAGCUAAGGCUAACAAGAUUUUAGGCUUGCGGCGACAGGAUCAGCAGCAUUUCAUGCCAUUUUAGGCAUUACUACAUGCUUUGCUUCAACCUUUUGUCAGUUCCUUCCACAACAGAAUCCUGCUGCUGUAUCCAAAUCCCUGGUUAUUCCAUGAGAAGUGUUUGACAUGGAUUUUGUUGAAGAUUUUGAUGUACACUUUCAGGAUUAUUUAUUCCAAAAGGUUUUAUAGUGCCGUGCAGAAGAUGAACAUUUCAAGUUCUUGAACUUUAAAAUAUUUGUACUUCCUCAGAAGUCUCCAGUCACUGACACAGUUUUUAAUACUUAGUGAACAGAAUGAAACAGGCUGCAUGUCUUUCAAGCUCCAAGUACAGUGGAGGAGGAAAUAAAUAGUGAAGGGAGUUUUUGUGGUAGUGUUUUACUCUCAGUUCUUGAUUAGUGUAUGUCUGCUGUCAUAGUUGCUGCCUAGGAGCUGGAAUGAGCACCUCUUAGAAGCAGUUCCAGUGUCUGAUCCAGCUGCUACUGAAGUCCAUCGCAAAAUUGCUACUUAUCUCAAACACAACCUUGAUCAGUCCUAACGCAAUAAUCUGGAAGGAAAACUCAGUGUUCCAGAUACAUCAAAAACACUUGAGGAUUAACAGGAUGUGCUUUUAAUCCUCCUUCAGUAGCUCAUUGAAAUAGAUGGCUGGGACUAUGACUGUAAUUUUUACUUUCAUUCUGGAACACUUGCCUGACAGAAAAUCCCCUGUCAGGCCAAGAACAUAUAAGAUUUUCAACUGUGGGUCCAGUAUGAUUGAUUGUAACCAUCCAUCUCAGAGACAUUUGACGGAGAUUACUGAAUAAAACCAACAGUGUGGGUAUUGAUUCUGUAUUGCAGUCUGAAUGAUUGAAGGUGUAAAUGUGCCCUGAUUCAGCAGAUGAGGAUUGGCAAAUGCAGGCAGGUAACAUUUUGCUCCAAAAACAUUUUUGUGAUUCCAAAUCUCUUGUGAUUUUAAAACAAAUACUGUUGAAUGAGAUUUUGAGCUUCAUAGUCCUUGAUGCUUACAUGAAAAGUAUUUUAUUCUUCCUAGAUGCUGCUGGAGCUUCAUUUGGUGUUUUUUUUAAAAAGGGCUCCUCUUUGCUAAAUUUCCUCUUAAGUAUAUGUAGGUUGCUCUGAAAGUAAUGCCUCCUCUUUAUUUCCAUGAAAACUGCUACAGCUACAAAGAGCACUGUGACACUGUUUGAUAGAGAAAAUUCUCAGCUACAGAACGUUUUUUUAACAUACUUUUGGAGCAGUCCUUGUGUAUUUCAUAUUCUGUAAUUCUGCAGAUAUCAAUAAAAUCAUAGUACUAUCAUAUUUUUCAUGCUAUUUAUGCCUGCAGGGUGCUGAGCAAUGGCAAGGCACUAACUUCCAUUACAGCUAUUGCUAAUUAAUCUGAAUAAAUUUGAGAAGCAUGCUAUAGUUUAAAUCCAGAAAGCUCAGCAUGAAAUAUACAAAGUGUCUUGCUUUUAUAGCUCAAAUGAUGUCUGUAAUGAUUUGAAGUUCUUAGCAACAUGUAAAACAUUUUAUCAUUUUAUCUUUUCAUCUAUUAGUAAAAUAUGCCCUACUUAUAAGAAGAGUCUUAGAACUUUCAUUCUCCCAUGGUACUUUUAAUGGCUAUAUACUUCCUUGGAAAUAGAUAGAUCACUACUCAUUUCUUACUGCUGCUACUUCAAUUUUUGCCACUAGAGUUUUUAUUCAGCUUCCAGACUCUUUACCAUUCUUCUUUUCUACCCUUGCUCAUUUGCUGAGUAGAGUGGGAGUCAGACGUUAUCCUGAUAGCUUCUGUUGGAAAUGCUGCCAGUUGUGAAAUGGAUACACUUUUCACUCAUUGUUUGUGCGAAUUUUUCUAAUCCAUCCACCGACUGCACAUCCUGGCCUUUAUUAGCUGCUAUUUUCCUUCUUGAAGCACCAAGGUAAAGGAUGGUAAAAGGAUUUCCUGUCUCUGGGCUACAGCUUGGUUUCACAAUUCAAGUGCAGAUCUACAAACAAUAAGAAACAACACCCUUCUGUGCGAGGCAAUUGUAAGGCAGCCAUGGCAGUUCAAAUGCUGGGGAGAACUGUUCUAUGGUACAAGAAGGAGCAGCAUUCUGGCAGCUCUUGCUGAAGCACUGGGAAAGUGACCUUAUAAACAGAGCUGGUAUCCUCCUCUCUGUUCACUGCCUGAGGAGUUGGAGGUGCUGAAAAACAAAGGAGGCAAACUAUCCUGUCAGUAAUCUGCUUUGCUGGACCCUGGAAACAUUCCUACUCACUGCAGUGACUGUGCAAGUUCUGUGUGCUGAAGCAACAAGUGUGGCACGGUAUGUGGAGAAACACCACUAGUGAAAGGAGCGGGGACCCAGCAGCUGGAUAACCAUAUGCCAGGGCUCUUGGGAUAUCUUGCCAGCCACCAAUUUUUUGUUUGAACCUGAGCCCCCAGCUUCCAGUGCAUUGAUCAGGGAGUACAUCAGAAGCUUUCAAAAGUAAUAAAGACUCUAAGGAGACAAGAACAUGAAAAACCAAGCAAACUAUAAUUCUCCAAGACCUAAAAAAGAAGACUCAUAGCUCCUCCUUCAUGUUACUAAUUUCAUACAGCAUAAUGAAAAAAAGAGACUAACAGCUUUGAGCCUUGCCAAGAUGGAUGGUUCAGAUAGUGGUAAUUUCUUAGUUUAGGGGGAGAAGUGUAAAUUUUUAGGCUUGGCCACUGCCAUGUUCCAUCCACGCUGCAGUUUGGAAUGAGCUCACAAUGUUCAGCUGACAACAGAAGAAAAAGUAACAGAAUGUCUCAGAAAAUGGCUAUUCAUGUCCAAAUACAAAAUGCAACUUUUUGGAAGGACUUUCCUAUAAUUAAACAGGAGCUUAAUUUUGGGCUGGCUUUUGUAUUUGCUCAAAAUUGAAGCUUUUCCUCUUUUAUGAGAUCUUCACUGUCAUUGUAUUUUUACGUGAACACUUGUUUGUACAAGUGAUAUGUACUGAGUACAGGACAUAUACUUAACAACAGACAUGCAGUUUAUAUUGUAUUUUGUAGGUUCAGGAUGAGCACUACUAAGGAAAAAUGCAGCAUGUUAUUGAACUCUGGGGAGAUCAUGAUAGGCAUACAAAUAUGUGCUCUUAUAAUUAUGCUUCCUUAACCUCUGUCAAUUUGCAAUGGACAUUUUAAAUUCAAUGUGGAAUCAAGUUUACUCAUUUGUUCAUGUUUUCUUGUCACAGCUGGAAUCUCCACUGGCAUUGAUUUUACACUGCUUCUAUUUCAUUCACUUCAGUGGUAUUCAUAAGAUAGAAGAUGAUGCAAUCGUUUUAGUUUUACACCACACGGAAUAACAUGCCUUCAGACAAGACUGGUAUCUGGCUAAUGGCGACUUCAAAGUCUUACAUGCUGUAACAAACAACGUCAG